GACGAACGCUGGCGGCGUGCUUAACACAUGCAAGUCGAACGGAAAGGCCCUGCUUGCAGGGUACUCGAGUGGCGAACGGGUGAGUAACACGUGGGUGAUCUGCCCUGCACUUCGGGAUAAGCCUGGGAAACUGGGUCUAAUACCGGAUAGGAGCCAUCUUUAGUGUGAUGGUUGGAAAGUUUUUUCGGUGUAGGAUGAGCUCGCGGCCUAUCAGCUUGUUGGUGGGGUAAUGGCCUACCAAGGCGGCGUCGGGUAGCCGGCCUGGGGGGGUGGACGGCCACAAUGGGACCUAGAAUCGGCCCAGGCUCCUACGGGAGGGAGCAGGGGGGAAUAUUGCACAAGGGGCGCAAGCCUGAUGCAGCGACGCCGCGUGGGGGAUGACGGCCUUCGGGUUGUAAACUCCUUUCGCUAGGGACGAAGCUUUUUGUGACGGUACCUAGAUAAGAAGCACCGGCUAACUACGUG
rnacentral:rRNA from 1 species